rnacentral:lncRNA from 1 species
UUGGCCUCUGGCCACUUGCGGAUCGUCUGGCGAGGGAGGACCCGCCCGCGGGGGGCACGGGCACGGAUGAGGAAAGUGUCAAACAAGCCCUCUCUGUCCCCGCAGGCGGGUGGGUGCGCGGCCCCGCCCAGCGCUGGUUGCUAGGGACGCCCGGCGGUCGCUGGGGCGGGACCGCCGGCCGAGCUGAGUCUCUGGGCUGGCGGCUGCGGAGGGCGGGUUAGGGUUAGGGUUAGGGCGGCGGCGGCACCAUGAAGUCGGCCAAGAAGGACUCCCGCGUCCGAGUCCCCGGCAGGUUCUUGGAGGCCGCCGAGAACUUCAAAGAUGACUGACUCAGAAAAACCUCAGACCAGUGUUGCUGGCUGCUUCAAUCUGAAACAUGAAGAAGUAGCUUCUGCGUCACUAAAUGAGACCGGAAGCAGGCAAAGAUACCUGAGCAGCCCACCCCCCAUUCAGCAGGAGCCUGAGCCCAUCAGCAGCGUGCUCCAGGGAGGCGACAUUCUUGCCUUGGCCAUAAAGAAGAGGACUUGAAGAAAG